rnacentral:lncRNA from 1 species
UGUCAAUGGUCACUGGGUUGUUUCUACGUUUUAGCUGAUGAGAAUAAGGAGGCUGCGAACACAUGUCCCUUCCUCAGAGACUCCGCCCUGUAUGCUCCCAUUAGCUGCUGCCGCAUAACACACCACCCCAAGACUUACUGGUAAGCAGCAGCAGUCGUUUAUUAUGACUAGAAAUCUGCUCAGCAUGGGUGGCUCAU